rnacentral:rRNA from 1 species
UACGUAGGGGGCGAGCGUUAUCCGGAAUUACUGGGCGAAAGCGCAACGCAGGCGGGUUCGCCAAGUUUGGAGUGACAGUUGUCGGCUCAACCGACAAAAGGACUUCAAAAACUGGUGAACUUGAGGACGAGAGAGGAACAUGGAACUCCAGGUGUAGUAGUGAAAUGCGUAGAUAUCUGGAAGAACACCAAUGGCGAAGGCAAUGUUCUGGCUCGUU